rnacentral:piRNA from 1 species
UGCAGAUGACAUGGUGCUGCUGAGCCCA